rnacentral:rRNA from 1 species
UAGUCAUAUGCUUGUCUCAAAGAUUAAGCCAUGCAUGUCUAAGCACAAGCCGAUUAAUGGUGAAGCCGCGAAUGGCUCAUUACAACAGCCAUAGUUUCUUAGAUCUUACUUUUCUACUUGGAUAACUGUGGUAAUUCUAGAGCUAAUACACGCAAACAAGCUCAGACCUUACGGAAUGAGCGCAUUUAUUAGAACAAAAACCAAUCGGGCUUCGGUCCGUCAUUUGGUGAAUCUGAAUAACUUUGCUGAUCGCACGGUCUUCGUACCGGCGACAUAUCUUUCAAAUGUCUGCCUUAUCAACUUCCGAUGGUAGUUUAUGCGCCUACCAUGGUUGUAACGGGUAACGGAGAAUAAGGGUUCGACUCCGGAGAGGGAGCCUGAGAAACGGCUACCACAUCCAAGGAAGGCAGCAGGCACGCAAAUUACCCACUCCCGGCACGGGGAGGUAGUGACGAAAAAUAACGAGACGGCUCGCUAUGCGGUCCGUCAUCGGAAUGGGUACAAUUUAAAUCCUUUAACGAGGAUCUAUU